rnacentral:lncRNA from 1 species
GCUCAGCCCCUGACACGCUCGGCUCUUCGCGCCUGAGACCAGCACCGAGAGGAAAGAGUGGUGAGCGCGGCAAAGGCCACUCGGCGCGGGCAGGGGAGACCGGCCGGGACAGCUCAGCGACACGCACUCAGGCUGACUCGGGCUGGUACUGGUGGCUAGGAAUGUCGUCCUGGACCAGGUGGCAUGGACCCGCCAUGGCGCGGCUCUGGGGCUUCUGCUGGCUGAUUGUGGGCUUCUGGAGGGCCGCUCUUGCCUGUCCCACAUCCUGCAAGUGCAGCGCCUCUCGGAUCUGGUGCGGCGAUCCUUCUCCUGGCAUCGUGGCGUUUCCGAGGCUGGAGUCUACCAGUGCUGAUCCUGAGAACAUCACCGAAAUUUACAUUGCAAAUCAGAAAAGAUUAGAAAUCAUCAACGAAGAUGAUCUUGAAGCUUAUGUGGGACUGAAAAACCUGACCAUUGUGGAUUCUGGAUUAAAAUCUGUGGCUCAUAAAGCAUUCCUGAAAAACAGCAACUUACAGCACAUCAAUUUUACCCGAAAUAAACUGACGAUUUUGUCUAGGAAACAUUUUCGUCACCUUGACUUGUCUGAGCUGAUCCUGGUGGGCAACCCAUUUAUGUGCUCCUGUGACAUUAUGUGGAUCAAGACUCUUCAGGAGACUAAACCUAGUCCAGAAACUCAGGAUUUGUACUGUCUGGAUGAAAACAGCAAGAAUAUUUCACUGGCAAACCUGCAGAUACCCCAUUGUGGUUUGCCAUCAGCAAAUCUGGCUGCACCUAACCUCACCGUGGAGGAGGGAAAGUCUAUCACAUUGUCUUGUACUGUUGCAGGUGACCCAGUUCCAAAUUUGUACUGGGAUGUCGGUAAUCUGGUUUCCAAGCAUAUGAAUGAAACAAGCCACACACAGGGCUCCUUAAGGAUAACUAACAUUUCAUCUGAUGACAGUGGAAAGCAAAUCUCUUGUGUGGCAGAAAAUCUUGUAGGAGAAGAUCAAGAUUCUGUCAACCUCACUGUACAUUUUGCUCCAACUAUCACAUUUCUCGAAUCUCCAACCUCAGACCACCACUGGUGCAUUCCAUUCACUGUGAAAGGCAAUCCCAAGCCAGCGCUUCAGUGGUUCUAUAACGGGGCAAUUUUGAAUGAGUCCAAAUACAUCUGUACUAAAAUCCAUGUUACCAAUCAUACGGAGUACCACGGCUGCCUCCAGCUGGACAACCCCACUCACAUGAACAAUGGGGACUACAAGUUAGUAGCCAAGAAUGAAUAUGGGAAGGAUGAGAAACAGAUUUCUGCUCACUUCAUGGGCUGGCCUGGAAUCGAUGAUGGUGCAAAUCCAAAUUAUCCUGAUGUAAUUUAUGAAGAUUACGGAACCGCAGCAAAUGACAUUGGGGACACCACGAACAAAAGUAAUGGAACCCUUCCCACAGGUGUUGUUGAUACAGGUCGGGAACACCUCUCGGUCUAUGCUGUGGUGGUAAUUGCAUCUGUAGUGGGAUUUUGUCUACUGGUAAUGCUAUUUCUGCUGAAGUUGGCAAGACAUUCCAAGUUUGGCAUGAAAGAUUUCUCAUGGUUUGGAUUUGGGAAAGUAAAAUCAAGACAAGGUGUCGGCCCAGCCUCGGUUAUCAGUAAUGAUGAUGACUCUGCCAGCCCACUGCAUCACAUCUCUAAUGGGAGUAACACCCCGUCGUCUUCAGAGGGUGGCCCUGAUGCUGUCAUUAUUGGAAUGACCAAGAUUCCUGUCAUUGAAAAUCCCCAGUACUUUGGCAUUACCAACAGUCAGCUCAAGCCAGACACAUUUGUUCAGCACAUCAAGCGACACAACAUUGUCUUGAAAAGGGAGCUAGGUGAAGGAGCCUUUGGAAAAGUUUUCCUCGCUGAAUGCUAUAACCUCUGUCCUGAGCAGGACAAGAUCUUGGUGGCUGUGAAGACGCUGAAGGAUGCCAGCGACAAUGCACGCAAGGACUUCCACCGCGAGGCCGAGCUGCUGACCAACCUCCAGCACGAGCACAUUGUCAAGUUCUAUGGCGUCUGCGUGGAGGGCGACCCACUCAUAAUGGUCUUCGAGUACAUGAAGCAUGGGGACCUCAACAAAUUCCUCAGGGCACACGGACCGGAUGCAGUGCUGAUGGCCGAGGGCAACCCACCGGCAGAGCUGACGCAAUCGCAGAUGCUGCACAUCGCCCAGCAGAUCGCUGCAGGCAUGGUCUACCUGGCGUCGCAGCACUUCGUGCACCGAGACCUGGCCACCCGGAACUGCCUGGUGGGCGAGAACCUCCUGGUGAAAAUCGGGGACUUCGGCAUGUCCCGGGACGUGUAUAGCACUGACUACUACAGGGUCGGUGGCCACACAAUGCUGCCCAUUCGCUGGAUGCCCCCAGAGAGCAUCAUGUAUAGGAAGUUCACCACCGAAAGUGACGUCUGGAGCCUGGGGGUCGUGUUGUGGGAGAUCUUCACGUACGGGAAACAGCCCUGGUACCAGCUGUCGAACAACGAGGUGAUAGAAUGCAUCACUCAGGGCCGAGUCCUGCAGCGACCUCGAACAUGCCCCCAGGAAGUCUACGAGCUGAUGCUGGGGUGCUGGCAGCGAGAGCCCCAUAUGAGGAAGAACAUCAAGGGCAUCCACACCCUCCUUCAGAACUUGGCCAAGGCAUCUCCAGUCUACCUGGAUAUUCUAGGGUAGGGCCCAUUCCCCCAGACCAGUCCUUCUGAAAGCACUUCCUCAGUUGGGCCGAGAGGAUGAACGUCUUUUAACUGCCGCUCGAUGCCAUCAAUCCGCUGUUCUUUGCUCUGACAGUAUUAACAACAAAGACACUGAGAAGCUUUCCGAGGGAAGCGACGUGUACUUCUCCACCUGUAGACACAGUAUGGACUUCUUUUUAGCAUUCUCUUUCUCUCUUUCCAUCUCCCUUCAUUUAUUCUCUAGUUUCCACCCCCCCCCCCCGGUUUAUUUUUUGUCUUCCUUGCUUUACAACCCCUACCUUUUCUUUUUUAAUCAAUCUGGCUUCUGCAUUACUAUUAACUCUGCAUAGACAAAGGCCUUAACAAACCUAAUUUGUUAUAUCAGCAGACACUCCAGUUUGCCCACCACAACUAACAAUGCCUUGUUGUAUUCCUGCCUUUGAUGUGGAUGAAAAAAAGGGAAAACAAAUAUUUGACUUAAACUUUGUCACUUUUGCUGUACAGACACCGAGAGUUUCUAUGGAUUCACUUCUAUUUAUUUAUUAUUAUUACUGUUCUUAUUGUUUUGGGAUGGCUUAAGCCUGUGUAUGAAAAAGGAAAACUUGUGUUCAAUUUGGGAAGCCUUUAUCUAUGGGAGAUUAAGACCAGAGAGAAAGAAGAUUUAUUAUAAACCACAGUAUGGGAAGAACAAAGACAACCAUUGGAAUCUACUGGCGUCAGUUUCAACUUAAGAAAACCCAGCCACUGGUAGCUGGGAGGAAUGUAUCGGGCAUUUUCCCCCAAGGACCUUUCUGAGGAGUAUGAGGACUGUUGAACUCUGUGCCAUGGGCUAUUCUUUUCCCAUCACCGGAAAUGCUAGAGUGUAGUACAGAGAAAAUACGGCUUCUGGGAGGCAAGAUGGCACACAACACAUUCCGACAGUCUCAUCCUUGUAGGCCAUGGUGAUGGCACUGGUUUGUUUUGCCGAGUGUUAUCCACUGAGCCUUUGUCAAGUUCAGGUG